rnacentral:rRNA from 1 species
GACGAACGCUGGCGGCGUGCUUAACACAUGCAAGUCGAACGAAGUGGCGAACGGGUGAGUAACGCGUAAUCAACCUGCCCUUUAGCGGGGGCCAACAGUUGGAAACGACUGCUAAUACCGCAUACUGAAGGAGGGGCUUGCGUUUGAUUUGCUAGUUGGAGGGGUAACGGCCCACCAAGGCGAUGAUCAGUAGCCAGUAUGAGAGGAUGAGCGGCGAGAUUGGGACGGAGACACGGCCCAGACUCCUACGGGAGGCAGCCGUGGGGAAUCUUCCGCAAUGGACGAAAGUCUGACUGAGCAACGCGGCGUGAGUGAGGACGGCCUUCGGGUUGUAAAGCUCUGUUAAUCGGGACGCGGUACCGGAAUAGAAAGCCACGGCUAACUACGUGCCAGCAGCCGCGGUAAUAC